GACGAACGCUGGCGGCGUGCUUAACACAUGCAAGUCGAACGGUGAAGCGCCUUCCUUUUUGGUGGGUGUGGAUGAGUGGCGAACGGGUGAGUAACACGUGAGUAACCUGCCCCCUUCUUCUGGAUAACCGCAUGAAAGUGUGGCUAAUACGGGAUAUUCUGGGUCUGUCGCAUGAUGGGUCUGGGAAAGAUAUUGUUUCGGUGGGGGAUGGGCUCGCGGCCUAUCAGCUUGUGGUGGGGUGAUGGCCUACCAAGGCGGUGACGGGUAGCCGGCCUGAGAGGGUGGACGGUCACACUGGGACUGAGACACGGCCCAGACUCCUACGGGAGGCAGCAGUGGGGAAUAUUGCACAAUGGGCGCAAGCCUGAUGCAGCGACGCCGCGUGAGGGAUGGAGGCCUUCGGGUUGUGAACCUCUUUCGCCAGUGAAGCGGGCCUGCCUCGUUUGUGGGUGGGUUGACGGUAGCUGGAUAAGAAGCGCCGGCUAACUACGUG
rnacentral:rRNA from 1 species